GCCUGGAGACCUAUUUCAAGCUCCUGACAGAGGAAUGCAUGGCAGAGCAUGUGAAGCGGGGUGUGAUGUGGGGGCAGGGAAUCCAACCCACGAAUUGGAUUUUACAAUGGCACGCCCACUGCUGCCAAGGGGAAGUGGGAAGCAGGAAUUAAAGCAAUGGAGCAAUGGUUUGAGUCACCCUCUCUGCGCCAGAACAUUCUGAGAAAUCGCUGAUCAGCAAACUGAGGUCUGGAGAGAUGAAGUGACAGGCACAAGCGGAAGCUUCAGGGAGGAAGGCUGCGGGCUGGAGAGAACCUGAGGCUGAGUUUCUUCCAUUUCAUCCAGCGCAUUCACCAAAGCACCCUGUGUGCCGAGGGCAGCGGGGGCCGUACCCUCCCGGAGCUCACGAAUGGGUGAGGGAGAAGCCCCUAGGCGGAGAAACUUACAAUCCCAUGUGGACAUGUGAACUCAGUGAGAGGAGGUGCUGCGGUGAGGGCCACUUCUUGGAGAUUUGGGAAAAGGAGCAGGAUGUUUCUGGCAGUGAGGCUGGGAAGGGCAUCCUUCAUAGCAGAGGGAAGCUGUGAGCAGAGCAGAGGCUGAGGACGACUCCACCCAAGGGGACCGGUGGGGCAGGGGCUGUGCCAGGGCUUGACCCGGAGCUCUGGGCUGUGUCCAGUUCCCUUCAAAUGAGAAAGAAGGCGCCAGAGGUGCAGGGGACAGGGGAUGCCUGCCAGCCAGGCCCCAUCUCCUCUGCUGUUUAGGGACUCGGGUUGGAAUUUCCACGACACUAUUUGGGGGAGGAUGAGGGAGCUGGUGGGAAAUGGGUUUGGGGGCGCGAGGCUUGAUAUCAUUUCUUCCGAUAAAGAGGCAUUGGCUCAGCUUUUCUGUCUUCUGCUUAAUCACUUUCAGAGGCUCAUUAGACUUAGAGGAAAUACACUUGCAAACUCAAACCACAUGCCACCCUCAGAGUACAUACUCCCAUCCCCAAAGCACACGUACCUCAGAGAAAGGAUCAUUGGUUCCCAAGAACAGGAGCCAUUCCGUGGAAGGGGUCACCUGCCUGGAGACUGCAGUGCUCCGAGGCCGUAGAGCAAGGUGGGUGGAAGCGGGUUUGAGAGUUUCAGGGACGGGCUGACUCUCACGGGGCCCUUACCACGUGCCUGCUGCUGUUCUCAUUGCAUUGCACGUAUUAACUCACUUAAGUCCCACCUGAAGGUGGCCACCAUCAUUGUUCCCAAAGAGCAGCUAGGCCCAGACAUGUUAAGUAACUUGCUUCAGAUCACAUGCAGCCAAGUGGCAAAGCCAAAAAUUGUCCAUAGUCAGGCCACCCGGGUUUGCAGCCCAGCUCUGCCAUUGACGAGCUGUGUGUGUUUGAACAAGUUACUCAGCCUUGCUGGUCACUCUUCUCCUGUGUGAAGUACAUGUAGCAAUUACAUCUGCCAACGGGGGGAUGAUUGAAGACCGGAUACACCAUGGGCCUAACACGGUGCCUAGGAUACAGUAAGUACCUGUCAAUUUAAGAAACAGCUGACUAGCUGAGGUCCCACUGAGAUGCCACCUCCUCCACAAGGCGUCUGUCCCUGAAGCUACUAAAGAUCACUCUGUUCAGGUUGGGCAGCACCAGGAUGUCUCCUCUGCAUCCCUACUGUACUGUGGCUAUUUUAUUUGACAAAUCUUCAUAUAGGACUUCCUGUGGGUCAGA